rnacentral:rRNA from 1 species
UUGGGCGUAAGAGCUUGUAGGCGGUUUGUCGCGUCUGCUGUGAAAUCUCAAGGCUCAACCUUGAGCUUGCAGUGGGUACGGGCAGACUAGAGUGUGGUAGGGGAGACUGGAAUUCCUGGUGUAGCGGUGAAAUGCGCAGAUAUCAGGAGGAACACCGAUGGCGAAGGCAGGUCUCUGGGCCACUACUGACGCUGAGAAGCGAAAGCAUGGGGAGCGAACAGGAUUAGAUACCCUGGUAGUCCAUGCCGUAAACGUUGGGAACUAGGUGUGGGCCUCAUUCCACGAGGUCCGUGCCGCAGCUAACGCAUUAAGUUCCCCGCCUGGGGAGUACGGCCGCAAGGCUAAAACUCAAAGGAAUUGACGGGGGCCCGCACAAGCGGCGGAGCAUGCGGAUUAAUUCGAUGCAACGCGAAGAACCUUACCAAGGCUUGACAUAUGCCGGAAAAGUGCAGAGAUGUGCUCCCCGCAAGGUCGGUAUACAGGUGGUGCAUGGUUGUCGUCAGCUCGUGUCGUGAGAUGUUGGGUUAAGUCCCGCAACGAGCGCAACCCUCGUUCUAUGUUGCCAGCACGUGAUGGUGGGGACUCAUAGGAGACUGCCGGGGUCAACUCGGAGGAAGGUGGGGAUGACGU